ACAUCCAGAGAACUUAGCAGAGAUGCUUUGGUGCCUUCGGGAACUCUGAGACAGGUGCUGCAUGGCUGUCGUCAGCUCGUGUUGUGAAAUGGUUGGGUUAAGUCCCGNAACGAGCGCAACCCUUUAUCCUUUGUUGCCAGCGGUUCGGCCGGGAACUCAAAGGAGACUGCCGGUGAUAAACCGGAGGAAGGUGGGGAUGACGUCAAGUCAUCAUGGCCCUUACGGCCAGGGCUACACACGUGCUACAAUGGCGCAUACAAAGAGAAGCGACCUCGCGAGAGCAAGCGGACCUCAUAAAGUGCGUCGUAGUCCGGAUUGGAGUCUGCAACUCGACUCCAUGAAGUCGGAAUCGCUAGUAAUCGUAGAUCAGAAUGCUACGGUGAAUACGUUCCCGGGCCUUGUACACACCGCCCGUCACACCAUGGGAGUGGGUUGCAAAAGAAGUAGGUAGCUUAACCUUCGGGAGGGCGCUUACCACUUUGUGAUUCAUGACUGGGGUGAAGUCGUAACAAGGUAAGCGUAGCGAG
rnacentral:rRNA from 1 species